ACAUAGGAGAUGACUAGAGAAAGAAAAAUGAGUAUGAAACUCUUAUAUGGGUAGAUUUUGUAAACACAUUGGGGUUUAUUAACAGUUGUGACAAGCAAUUAUGUUUAUAGUAAAGGAAACCCGCCGCAGCGUCAAUAACAAAUGUGCAUGUUUUUUGGUUGUUUGGGAUUGAAAUAGCUUAUGGGUUUUCUAAAUCGAUAUAAUUGAUUU
rnacentral:lncRNA from 1 species